UUUAGUUUGUUUUGUAAUUGGAAUGAUGGCGACCCAAACCCUCGCCAGAGUACCAAUUGGAGGGCAAGUCUGGUGCCAGCAGCCGCGGUAAUUCCAGCUCCAAUAGCGUAUAUUAAACUUGUUGCAGUUAAAAAGCUCGUAGUUGAACUUCGGCCUUGCGCGUCCUGCGGGUCUGCGCGCGGCCUUUGCGUUACUUUGAGAAAAUUAGAGUGUUUCAAGCAGGCUUUCGCCGUGAAUACUUGAGCAUGGAAUAACUGGGCAGGACCUUGGUUCUUCUUUGUUGGUUUUGUACCUGGGUAAUGGUUAAUAGGAACGGUUGGGGGCAUUCGUAUUUAACUGUCAGAGGUGAAAUUCUUAGAUUUGUUAAAGACGGACCACUGCGAAAGCAUUUGCCAAGGACGUUUCCAUUAAUCAAGAACGAAAGUUAGGGGAUCGAAGACGAUCAGAUACCGUCGUAGUCCUAUUACUAGACAACUAA
rnacentral:rRNA from 1 species